rnacentral:rRNA from 1 species
CCUACGGGGGGCUGCAGUGAGGAAUCUUCUGCAAUGCGCGCAAGCGUGACAGAUUGAGUCAGAGUGCUUUUCAUAUGAAAAGCUUUUGCCAAAUGUAAAAAGUUUGGCGAAUAAGGACUGGGUAAGACGGGUGCCAGCCGCCGCGGUAAUACCCGCGGUCCAAGUCGCAGCCAUUAUUAUUGGGUCUAAAACAUCCGUAGCUUGCUUAGUAAGUUUCUUGUGAAAUUCCAUGUCUUAAAUAUGGAGCGGGCAAGAAGUACUGUUAAGCUAGAGACUGGAAGACGUAAGAAGUACGUUUGGAGUAGCGGUAAAAUGUGUUAAUCCCAGACGGACUAACAACAGCGAAGGCAUCUUACGAGGACAGUUCUGACAGUAAGGGAUGAAGGCUAGGGGCGCGAAAGGGAUUAGAUACCCGGGUAGUC